AUUGCAAGUGUCGGAAUUAACAAGUCUAAAGCUUUGUGAUGUGAUUUGUUCAAAUGGAAAGCAUUGGAGGUUUUAUCCAACCCAAGGAGUUCAAAAAGGAUUUGACAUUUCAUUCCUAGUUCUUCGAUGAAAAGAUGCUCAAAUUCAAAGUGUGAUUUGGUUUAAGUGUUGCUUUGUGUAAGAUUUGUUUAGGUUUGUAUGAUUUGAAUUCAAAACUACUUUGGAGUUCAUCUAUGAUUUGUUUGAGUGUGUAAGAUUUGAUUUCAAUAUUAUUGUGUGAUUAAUAUGUUGGAUUUGAAUUAUGAAAAUUAAUAGUUAUUUGAAUUA